UUCCAGACUCCUACGGGAGGCAGCAGUAGGGAAUAUUGCUCAAUGGGGGAAACCCUGAAGCAGCAACGCCGCGUGGAGGAUGAAGGUUUUAGGAUUGUAAACUCCUUUUGUGAGAGAAGAUUAUGACGGUAUCUCACGAAUAAGCACCGGCUAACUCCGUGCCAGCAGCCGCGGUAAUACGGAGGGUGCAAGCGUUACUCGGAAUCACUGGGCGUAAAGAGUGCGCAGGCGGGUAGUCAAGUCAGAUGUGAAAUCCUAUAGCUUAACUAUAGAACUGCAUUUGAAACUGAUUAUCUAGAGUGUGGGAGAGGUAGGUGGAAUUCUUGGUGUAGGGGUAAAAUCCGUAGAGAUCAAGAGGAAUACUCAUUGCGAAGGCGACCUACUGGAACAUUACUGACGCUCAUGCACGAAAGCUUGGGGAGCAAACAGGAUUAGAUACCCUCGUAUU
rnacentral:rRNA from 1 species